rnacentral:rRNA from 1 species
UACGUAGGGUGCAAGCGUUAAUCGGAAUUACUGGGCGUAAAGCGUGCGCAGGCGGUUUUGUAAGCCAGAUGUGAAAUCCCCGGGCUUAACCUGGGAAUGGCAUUUGGGACUGCAAGGCUGGAGUUUGGCAGAGGAGACUGGAAUUCCCGGUGUAGCAGUGAAAUGCGUAGAUAUCAGGAAGAACACCAAUGGCGAAAGCAGCUCUCUGGGACGGUACUGACGCUGAGACGCGAAAGCGUGGGGAGCGAACAGG